UUAGAUUUCUGUGAUAAUACUACUCAUCCCGUUUUCGAACUUCGCACUGUCAAACGCUUUGGGGCGAUGAUGAAAACAAACUAUUUUUGUUGUUGACUCUCGAUCUUGAGCACUGCCAGAUGCAAGGCUAAUCAAAAUUAGGUAUUUCAAAAACAAAUAUUAUAUGAGAAAAUUAGAUAGCCUUUAUGUGCAGUAACCUUGACGGACUGCGAAAUCGUGUGCGAAAUUCGACUGUGAUAAUAAAUUAUUCAGGGUAAGUCUAAAUAGGAGUAAAUGUCGCAAUAAAUAAAAGUGUGUUGAAAUUGUGUUAAUUAAAUAAUUGUAUUAAAUAAUUUAAUAUGUAUUAAAUAAUUAAGUUUCCAACCGGAUGAAAUUAAUAAUGGCUAUAGCUUGUAGAGCCUGAACCCAAACCCCUACAUUUUCGGUUCUCCGCUUGAAUUUCCGGAUGACCAUAGUGCACAAUUUUGCUUAAUGUCCCUCGCUGGCACUCGGACGAUGAUCAGCCGCCUCUAACAUGGGGAACAGACGCUGUUAUGAGACGCUUCUAACAUGGAGAACAGACACUCGAUCAGAUUUGCACCCCCGGAGAGGAGCAAAUCCACUCCUCCCUUCCCUGUCAGCGGACGGGCAUAGUUCCCACCGGGGUUGGUUAUCCGGUCUUCCCUAUAAGGUUGCUCAUACCCCAGCCAGCACCACGGGGAAGGAAUAAAAGGAAUGCAGGGUUGCAGGGAAGAGGCAGGGGACCGCGAGAUUGGUCUAUUUUACUCCUUCAAGUACGCGAAGUACCAAUGUGAACCAUAAUGGGUCUCGAACUAUCUUAAGAACCUUCCGCGGUCCCAAAAACCUCUGGAUACAAAUCGCCGAUCGGUUCAGUAGCUUCCGAGUCUAUAAGGGUCAGACAGACAGAAAUUAAUUUUUAUGUAGUAUUUAAGCAGUCCCGACGAACUUCGGUUCGCCUAAAAUCGAUUUAUUCUCUGAUUAGAUCUCGAGUUAUGCAGAAAUCUAGAGUGCUUUGAGAAUAGGUCGUAUGUGCAAAAGAGAGCCUCUCUUCGGUUACAUUCUCUUUCGAUUAUUACAAAGCUAUACACAAAUUUAUGUUGGAUUUUUUGGCAGAUAUCUAAAGACAAUAACUUUGUCUAGCGUGCUAAAGUGAAAAUGUAGCAGAAAAUGCUAAACUUGCCGAUCUAUUAGCGAAAGAGAGCGUGAACAAAGAGAAUCUCUCUUUUGCACAUACGACCUAUUCUCAAAGCAAUCUAGAAAUAUCUGUUUCAUUUGUAUGGGGGCCCCCCUUUCCAGAAGGGGGAGGGUUUUCAGAAACAUAGAUUUAGCACCGACGAACCGACGUGUCACCCCAUAGAAAAUAAUUCAAAUUUGCUGCCCACGACGCCAUGAUGAAAAAUCAUCGAACACUACCGCCACCCCCAUAAUGGCUCGCGAAGUUUUCAUAGCUCAGCCACCAACCUACGUGUAUUAACAUUGCAGCGGAGUUGUGUCUUAGCUCAUUUGACAGGAGCGAUCGCCCGCAAAAGCGAAUGACCGUUAAAAAGUGUGAGACAAUCAGAGAGCGCCAGUGACACGUCGGUUCGUCGGUGGAUUUAGUUCCAUUCGCUUGAAUAAUUCUCGAGUAAUUAAGAAAUUGAUAUUUCAUUUGUAUUGAACCCCCCCUUUCUAAAACAAGGAGGGGUCUCGAACGAUCCUAAGAACCUUCCCCGGCCCCAAAAAUCUCUGAAUAUAAUUUUUCACGCCGAUCGUUUUAGUAGCUUCCGGGUCUAUAAGGGUCAGACAGACAGAAAUUAAUUUUUAUGUAGUAUUUAAGCAGUCCCGACGAACUUCGGUUCGCCUAAAAUCGAUUUAUUCUCUGAUUAGAUCUCGAGUUAUGCAGAAAUAUCUGUUUCAUUUGUAUGGGGGCCCCCCUUUCCAGAAGGGGGAGGGUUUUCAGAAACAUAGAUUUAGCACCGACGAACCGACGUGUCACCCCAUAGAAAAUAAUUCAAAUUUGCUGCCCACGACGCCAUGAUGAAAAAUCAUCGAACACUACCGCCACCCCCAUAAUGGCUCGCGAAGUUUUCAUAGCUCAGCCACCAACCUACGUGUAUUAACAUUGCAGCGGAGUUGUGUCUUAGCUCAUUUGACAGGAGCGAUCGCCCGCAGAAGCGAAUGACCGUUAAAAAGUGUGAGACAAUCAGAGAGCGCCAGUGACACGUCGGUUCGUCGGUGGAUUUAGUUCCAUUCGCUUGAAUAAUUCUCGAGUAAUUAAGAAAUUGAUAUUUCAUUUGUAUUGAACCCCCCCUUUCUAAAACAAGGAGGGGUCUCGAACGAUCCUAAGAACCUUCCCCGGCCCCAAAAAUCUCUGAAUAUAUUUUUUCACGCCUAUCGUUUUAGUAGUUUUCGAGUCUAUAAGGUUCAGACAGACAGAAAUUCAUUUUUAUGUAUAUAGAUUUAGAUAGAUAGAUAAUCCAUAAUAUACAGGAUUUAAAAAUAAUCUGUACGUAUAUAUUAAUGAGUAUUACAUUGAAAGAAAUUGAAAAUAAAAAUCUUAAUCAAUAAUUAAACGCAAGGGGUACCGUUACACAAAUUCUCCUGAUAUGCUCCGAUUAUAACUUCAAAAUAAGACUUAUUGU